UUUAUAUCACCAACUAGAGUCAGAGAUUCUAUCAGUAUCACAAUGACAGGGGAAUUAACACUGUGCAACAUUACCUACCAACAAAUUACUCUAUUUGGAUAAAUAUAUCUCUUAAUUAACAUGAGAAAUUAAACACAAAACAAACUGAGGGCCCUACUUUCACUUUCAUAAGUAUGUAUUCUUAUUUUUCUCUUGAUUGAUGAAAUAUAUCUUUGAGUAUUUUUUUUUCGUUUUUUUCGAAAAAGAAUAUACUUCUUCAGAAUAUGUAUACCCAAGAAUUCCUUCUAUUUCUUUUGAAAAUUAUAACAACUUGACUGAUAAGUAACAAAGAAAUGGCUUAAUGAUUAUGGGCCCUAAGGUGGGGUCCAUGUGUCUUUCCUCACAUCAUUUUUAAAAGACCAAGCUAGAACUACAGCAGUUAAGGACAUGGCCUUUGAAAGUGAGAAAUUCCAAGGCCACUGAAGAACAGCUGGAGAAAUGAGGUUAACUGCUUUGAAACUGUGGUGUUUACUUGAAUUUGCUUUCCCAUACUUCAUUAUACACUCUUCUUGGAGAGAUUUACAAGGCUAAAAAAGAUAUAUAACUUAGACUUCUUUGGAUAUUGUUUUCUGCAAGUGAAUUACCUGCAUUCAUAUGUAUUUAGGAGAUAGUAAUAGCUAGCAAGUAAGUACUGACAAGAGAAUUUUUGUUUCAGACAGGCUGAAUGUUCUACUCCCUCAUUACUAAUCAUCUGGGUAUAAGAUGAAUGUGGUAGUAGGUGUGGCAAUAGCAGGAUUUAGCUUUGUCUUUAUUGCAGCUGUGGUAUUGUGUUACACAAAGCCCAACAGCAACUUCCUUAACAAUGCUUCUGUCAAUACCUUAUUCCCUUAGGUAAACACCUAAUUCCCUGUAAACAUCCAGUUCCCUGUAUUAAGUCUCUUUCUGCUUGGUUUCAUUUUCUUGAACAAAAAACCUUAACUGAUACAAUGAUUAUAAUAGAGAACUGCAGGUCUAAUAAGGUGGUAAAUCAAUUGAAACCAUAAGCUAGAGGUCUUGCUUAUGACCAUCAAGUUGGAAAGUUACUGUGAAAGAGUCAUGUUUUUGCUAAGGAUGUUCCAAAGAAAGACAACUUAGGUAGUAAAUCCUAUGGAAAAGGAUUCCUGUUAGGGAAUAGUGUUUAAAAAUUCACUGGUAGAUUUUGAUGUAGGUAGGGAGAGGGAAGUUUCCAUGGGCUAGUUCUUAGUAUUUUAUGAUAGCACCUCCUUGUGUGAAAUGGCACUUCAGAGAUUAUAAAGUGGAAUGACCUGAGAAUUGUUCAGCUAGUCUUACAGACAAAUUGAGCUAAAUAGGAUAAAUAUUAUCUAUUUUUUAGGUACAAAAAAUGAGUUUCAAACAGACUUUCAUAAUUCAUAACUAAUAGAAUUUGUAUAAAACUCUGUUUUUUGGUUUUUAGUAUAUUUUAUCCAGUACAAUACAACCUCUCUGCAUAAUAAUACUCUACACAACAAAAUUGUUUAAAAAUGUGAUUUGAACUCAUAGAUGAAAUAUUAAGAUAUUAUACAGAAAUUAGAAAAAAUAUAAAAACUUUUGUGUCCUAUAUGCAAAUAAAUAAUAAACACAAUACACUUAUCAUUGACCUCCCAACACAGUAACUAAAACUUGCAACAGCAGGCCUAACAGUAACCUCAUUUUCUGUGUCUAAUAGUUUCCUGAAGUCCAUAUAUUAUUUAAUUUUUGUCUUCUAAAGAUACUUAAUACUUAAGUCUUAUUGCCAUUACCCAUUUUUUCCCACUCUUGGUGGUCAUCUCUCUCUAUUACACAUCCAUUUAAUAAAUAUUCAGUUAUUGAAAUUUUAUAAUACUGAGUAUCAUGCAAUAUUAGGCUGAAGAACUUAAAGCACCAGAUGGUAACAUGCACAGAAAAAAAGUCAUAUGUUUUACGAUAUAUAUUAGCACAAAUGUGUUCUUCAAGAUGAGCAACAGAAUAGAAGCAAAAGACAUAUAGAUGUGCAACCCAUAUUAGCACAGGCUAUCUAGUAUGGUCAACCCAGCCUAAAUGCUUUUGAUUCCAAAGUUUUAAGUGACCUGCAGUUCACAUUUGUUAAAUCCAAAAAUUAUUGUAAUUUACUAAAAUGUAACUAAAGUCCAUAUAUUAUACUUCUAUUAAAGGAAAUUUGCUGUGGAGAUUACUACAUUUUAUAUUUAGAAUCAUUAACAUUAAUAUCACUGAACAGUUUUGCUCCCAUGUAGUGAGCAUCAAAUAUGUGCCAGAAAUGUUAUGUGCUUCACAUAAAUUUUCAAAUUCAUACUUCUUAGUAAUCUUAUACAAUAUAAAAAUUCACAUUUGUAGAUAAACAUCUCAGCAAGUUUAAGAAAUGUUCUUAAGAGCACAUGCCUAAUAAGUGAUAGUGCAAAAUUUAAAAUUGAAAACUCUGUUCAUGUGUGACUAACCCAAACAAACUCUAUAGGCUCACAAUGGAAGAAAUCGUUAUACAUUACAUUGAACUAGGUCAUCUCUAAUCUAAAAUCUCUCAGCAAAAAUUUCCUGAAUUUCUCCUAUGUUCAAGCCUUCUAGAAUAGCUAUGCUUUGAAGGAUGAAAUAAGUGAAUUAAACACAAAUCCUGCUAUAAAGAUGCUGAAGUUGGCAGGCAGGUAAGAUCCACACUAACAGUGAUACAAGGGAAGUAAUGUGAGCUCUAAGAAACAAAGAAAUAUGAUUAUUUAGAAGUCCACAGAAGGAAUUACUUAGAUGAGUCAGGAAUGAUUAUGUGGAUGUGAUGGCAUAUGAACCAGGCCUAGAGAGAUGGAUGAAAUUUAAAGUCAUAUAAUAAUAACUGUUGGUGCGGAUGUGGGGAAUAGAAAACUUCUUCAUUACUUGGACAUGUAAAAUUGUUCAGCUGCUUUGGAAAAGAGUUAGGUAGUUCCUCAAGGAUUAAACAUACAGUUACUAUGUGAGCCAAUAAUUCUACUCCUAAGUAUAUACCCUAGAGAAAUGAACACACAUAUCUAUAUGGAUACUCAUAUGAAAGUUUUUACAGCAGCAUUAUUCUACUAGCCAAAAGGUAGAAAUGACCCAAAAGUCCAUCAGCAAACAAAGGGAUAAACAAAAUGUGGUCUAUCUAUACAAUGAAAUAUUAUUCUGCUGUAAAAGGAAAUAGAGUACUUAUACAAGCAACAACACAGAUAAAUAUUGAAAAUAUUGUGCUUAUGUGAAAGAAGCCACUCACAAAAGUUACACAUAUUAUACAAUUCCGUUCACAUGAAAGUCCAUAACAAGGAAAUCUAUAUUGAUAGCAGUUGCUUAGAGCUGGGGAGGGAGGUAAGUAGAUAAGCGUACAAUAGCUAAAGAGUUUGGGUUUUCUUCUUGAAGUGAUGCAAUAGAGGGAAAAUAUUUUCCAACAUAAGAAAGAGCAUAAGACCAUAAAAAAUAGCAGUUUUGUUUUUGCAUUGCUCUAUUGCUGCUACUUUUUGUAUGAUGUUGUUUUAACAACAUAGUGUUCAUAAAAACAAUGUUACUCUCCAAAAACUGACAUUUUUUUCUUACUUGUAUUAUUAGAGCAUAACCAAAUUUAAAAUGAACAUAAAUUUGCCACUUAUACCUUCCCUUCCAUGGGAAAUUAUAGUACUCUCUUGAAUGUUCGUUUUCUUUCGUUUUGAUUUAUAAUUUGUGUUCUGGUAUGUAAGUUUUCUAUUGCCAUGUAACAGAUUACCAUAAAUUUAAAAGCUGAUAAUAGCCUCUUUGUAUUAUCUCACAGUUCUGUAGGUCAGAAGUCUAGGCAGACAUAGUAGGGUUCUCUCCCUCAGUGUUUCACAAGGCCAAAAUCAGGCUAUCAGCCAAGCUGGAUGUUUAUCUGGAUGCUCUAGGAAAGAAUCCACUUCUAAGCUAAUUCAGGUCAUUGGCAAAAUUCAGUUCCUUGAUGUUGUAGGACUGAAGUUCCCAUUUCUUUGCUGGGUGUUGAUGGGGAGUUACUCUCAGCAACUAGAGGCCACACUUUAGUACAUGCACAUGGUUCCUUCCAUUUUCAAGGCUAGUAAUACAACAGCAUAUCUAACAUUCUUAUUGUGCUUUGACUAUCUCUGACUUUCCUUCUGCUGCAAGGAAAAGGAUCUCCUCUUUGAUUAAUUCAAAGUCAACUGAUUAGUAACUUUAAUACAUUUGAAGAAUCCCCUUUUCAAGUAAAGUAACCUAAUCAGUAUAUGCUGUGUCAUCAUAUUCACAAUCCCAGGCAUUAGAGUAGGAAGUCUUGCUGGUCCGUUUGUGAUUUUAUUUAUUAUACCUGGUUAAAAUGAAAUUUCUGUGGCCAAGUGAACUUUGGAAAUGCUGUCUAAGAAAUAAUAAGUAGGUUUCUUUUCUCUGUAGAGAAUCUCCACAUGCUUCAUCAGUUUAAGUAUAUCAUGAGUUUUUAAGAAGGGACUAUUCUGUGCUGGUAUUUUUCAAAUUGUGAACCAUGGUUUAUUAUAUCAAUUUAUUUCAUCAUGACCAUCAUUGUUCAUAAGAAAAUGAAACAAAAUACUAGAAUUACUCAUAAAAGUUUCAAGAUUUUUUUGUGAAUGAUUUUUCAUUCAAAAUGCAUUUAUUUAUUGCUUAUUGUGUGUCAGGAAGUGUUCUAAGAAGUUUACCGAUAUUAACACGUGUCAAUAGUAAUAUAGGCAUACCUCAGAGAUAUUGUAGAUUCUGUUAUAGACCACUGCAAUAAAGCUAAUACCACAAUUACUGCAAUAAAGCAAGUCACAUGAUAUUAUUGGUUUCCCAGUUCAUAUAAAAGUUAUAUUUACAAUAUAUUAUAGCCUGUUUAAUGUGAACAGCAUUAUGUCUAAAAACAUUAUAUCUAAAAUAUAUAUACCUUAAUUAAAAAAUGCUUUAUUGCUGGAGUUCCCAUCAUGGCUCAGUGGUUAACGAAUCCGACUAGGAACCAUGAGGUUGUGGGUUCGAUCCCUGGCCUUGCUAAGCGGGUUGAGGAUCUGGUGUUACUGUGGCUGGGGUGUAGGCCAGCAGCUAUAGCUCCGAUUUGACUCCUAGCCUGGGAACCUCCAUAUGCCGCAGAAGCGGCUCAAGAAAUGGC
rnacentral:lncRNA from 1 species